UACGUAGGGUGCGAGCGUUAAUCGGAAUUACUGGGCGUAAAGUGUGCGCAGGCGGCCGAGCAAGUCGAGUGUGAAAGCCCCGAGCUUAACUUGGGAACUGCGCUCGAAACUACUUGGCUAGAGUGUGGCAGAGGGAGGUGGAAUUCCACGUGUAGCGGUGAAAUUCGUAGAUAUUCGGAAGAACACCAGUGGCGAAGGCGGCUCACUGGACUGGUAUUGACGCUGAGGUGCGAAAGCGUGGGGAGCAAACAGG
rnacentral:rRNA from 1 species